rnacentral:rRNA from 1 species
GAUGAACGCUGGCGGCGUGCUUAACACAUGCAAGUCGAACGGUGAAGCCCCUGCUUGCUUUGUGGGUUCGGUGGCGUACGGAUGAGUUACACAUGAGCAACCUGCCCUUGCCCCUGGGUUAGGAUCAGCGAAUGACGUCUAAUCCUGGAUAUGAGACGCGGUGGCUUUGUCUGCGUCUGGCAGGGAUUUAGGUUGGGGAUGGGCUCGCGGCGGGUCAGCUUGUUGGUGGGGUGGUGGCUGACCAAGGCUUCGACGGGUAGACGGCCUGAGAGGGUGACCGGCCAGACUGGGACUGAGACAGGGCCCAGACUCCUGCGGGAGGGAGCAGUGGGGAAUAGUGCACUACGGGGGCGAGGCGGAAGCAGCGACGGCGCGCGGGGGAUGACGGCCUUCGGGUUGUAAACCACUUUUGGCUGGGAAGAAGGGAGAUUGACGGUACCUGGAGAAGAAGCGCCGGCUAACUACGUG